AAAAAAGCUGGGGCCUGUUUAUCCUGUGUGAGCAUGUCUCUUGUAAAACUUCAGGGACAACAUGGCCAUUGUUGUUGGAUGAAGCUCUGUCUUUUAACUGACUAAAGGUUCAGUAAAUGAUGGAACAUGU